UACGUAGGGUGCAAGCGUUAAUCGGAAUUACUGGGCGUAAAGCGUGCGCAGGCGGUUAUAUAAGACAGUUGUGAAAUCCCCGGGCUCAACCCUGGGAACUGGCAUCUGUGACUGUAUAGCUAGAGUACGGUAGAGGGGAUGGAAUUCCGCGUGUAGCAGUGAAAUGCGUAGAUAUGCGGAGGAACACCGAUGGCGAAGGCAAUCCCCUGGACCUGUACUCGACGCUCAUG
rnacentral:rRNA from 1 species